rnacentral:rRNA from 1 species
CAAUAGCGUAUAUUAAAGUUGUUGCAGUUAAAAAGUUCGUAGUUGCAAUUAUGGGUGUUAUUGAUCUGCGGCGAUGGUCGUGGGUGAGUAGCGCUCAUCAUCCUGAAUCUUUUCAGGACUGUUACUUUGAGAAAAGUAGAGUGCUCCAAGCAAGCUUUGCUAUGAAUAUUAUAGCAUAGUAUAACGUCAUAAGACUUUGGACUAGUUUCUGAAGUUCUAUGUAGUUCAAAGUAAAGGUUAAUAGGAGCGGUCGAGGGCAUUGGUAUUCAACAGCUAGAGGUGAAAUUCUUAGAUUUGUUGAAGACCCACGAAGGCGAAGGCAUUUGUCAAGGACGUUUCCAUUAA